rnacentral:sRNA from 1 species
CUUGGUCAUUUAGAGGAAGUAAAAGUCGUAACAAGGUUUCCGUAGGUGAACCUGCGGAAGGAUCAUUACAAGUGAGGCUACCGAACGUUGGAAACAGCGGUUAGGAGCUUACACCCACCCGUGUUUACAUACUAUUGUUGCUUUGGCGGGCCGUGGCCUCCACUGCGGGCUCUGCUCGUGUGUGCCCGCCAGAGAACCAAACUCUGAGUGUUAGUGAUGUCUGAGUACUAUCUAAUAGUUAAAACUUUCAACAACGGAUCUCUUGGUUCUGGCAUCGAUGAAGAACGCAGCGAAAUGCGAUAAGUAAUGUGAAUUGCAGAAUUCAGUGAAUCAUCGAAUCUUUGAACGCACAUUGCGCCCUGUGGUAUUCCGCAGGGCAUGCCUGUUCGAGCGUCAUUUAACCACUCACGCCUAGCGUGGUAUUGGGGCACGCGGUCUCCGCGGCCCUCAAAAUUAGUGGCGGCGCCGGUGGGCUCUAAGCGUAGUACAUACUCCCGCUAUAGAGUUCCCCCCGGUGGCUUGCCAGAACCCCCAAUUUUUACAGGUUGACCUCGGAUCAGGUAGGGAUACCCGCUGAACUUAAGCAUAUCAAUAAGCGGAGGA